AGAACGAACGCUGGCGGCAGGCUUAACACAUGCAAGUCGAACGCCCCGCAAGGGGAGUGGCAGACGGGUGAGUAACGCGUGGGAAUCUACCCAGUUCUACGGAAUAACACAGGGAAACUUGUGCUAAUACCGUAUACGCCUACGGGGGAAAGAUUUAUCGGGAUUGGAUGAGCCCGCGUUGGAUUAGCUAGUUGGUGGGGUAAUGGCCUACCAAGGCGACGAUCCAUAGCUGGUCUGAGAGGAUGAUCAGCCACACUGGGACUGAGACACGGCCCAGACUCCUACGGGAGGCAGCAGUGGGGAAUAUUGGACAAUGGGCGCAAGCCUGAUCCAGCCAUGCCGCGUGAGUGAUGAAGGCCUUAGGGUUGUAAAGCUCUUUCAGUGGGGAAGAUAAUGACGGUACCCACAGAAGAAGCCCCGGCUAACUUCGUGCCAGCAGCCGC
rnacentral:rRNA from 1 species